UACGUAGGGGGCAAGCGUUGUCCGGAAUCAUUGGGCGUAAAGAGCGUGUAGGCGGCCAGAAAAGUCCGCUGUGAAAACUCGAGGCUCAACUUCGAGCUGUCGGUGGAAACUUUCUGGCUAGAGUCCGGAAGAGGAGAGUGGAAUUCCCGGUGUAGCGGUGAAAUGCGCAGAUAUCAGGAGGAACACCAGCGGCGAAGGCGCCGCUCUGGGCCGUAACUGACGCUGAGGAGCGAAAGCAUGGGUAGCAAACAGG
rnacentral:rRNA from 1 species